ACCGCCCCUUUUAAGGCAUAUCACAGUCCUCUGGUAGCAUUGCCUAUAAUAGAAAUACCUUUUGAGAGGAUUGCAAUGGACUUGGUGGGUCCUCUGGUAAAGUCUGCAAGGGGGCAUCAAUAUAUAUUGGUGAUUCUGGAUUAUGCUACCAAGUACCCAGAAUCAAUACCCCUACGUAACACGUCUGCAAAGACAAUAGCAAGAGAACUCAUGCUCAUGUUUAG